AGAAUUCUUCCCCCAUCAACUUCUUCCACAUCAAACAUCAGAUCUUUGUUCAUUGUCAUGUGGUAAGAGCAGCCAGAAUCUAGUACCCAGCCUUCCCUCGAGCCUCCAUGAGAUACAGUGAGCAUCAUUGGUUCUGCAUCCAUAGCUUGAGCUAGACUGGCUUCUCCCUUUUGACUUGUUCCAGCCUGGUAUUUCUUGGGACAAUCUUUCUUUAAGUGUUCUUCACUUCCACAAAUCCAACAAGCUCUCUUCUUCUUUGGUUUAGAUUUGCUUCUACUGGAUUUGCCCUUUGACUGACCCCUCUUCUCUGAUCUUCCUCUUGCCUGUACCAGCAACCCCUCAUCAGCAGGCUUUACUGAUAUCAGUCCCUUCUGCUUGAGCUCCAAUUCAAUAAAGUAAGCAGAUCUGAUUAUCUCCUUGGUGGUGAUGGUAUCUUUGGUACUGCUGUACUUCAGAGUAUGAACCAGGUGAUCAUACUUUUUAG
rnacentral:lncRNA from 1 species